AAAAGAGGCCCGCACCACGUCCUCAAUCGGAGCUCCGCAAACUGGACACUUUCCCCCUCUCCAUUGCAAUUCCUUAGCACAUUUCAUACAGCUACACAUGUGUCCACAUCUGCACCAAUACAAUAGGUAGUAUAUGAUAUCAUCAUUAUUCACACUCCUUUCACUUUUAAGAUACAUACAUACAUAUAGAUAGAUAUAGUUACCUAUACAGUAGUGAGUCAAUCUGCAUGUCGUAGCAAAUACAACAUUUGCGCUUUCUUGA